rnacentral:rRNA from 1 species
UCUUCGGGAUAGGUAGUAGUUAAGGUGAUGGCUUAACUAGCUUAAAAUUCUCGUAGUCGAAGCUGAAAGGUUGAUCGACCACAUUGGGUCUGAAAAAACCCCAAUGCAAGUUAGUACAGCAGUGAGGAAUCUUGGUCAAUGGCCUAACGGCUGAACUGGCAACUUGGAGAAGUGGCAAGUCUUAUUUUUGAUUAUAAUUUUAGAUAAUCUAUAAGAUUGUAUUAAAAUUGAAUAAAGCUUUGUUUAUAUAUUGAUAAUGACAAUAUAUAUAUCGUGUCUUGACUAAUUACGUGCCAGCAGUCGCGGUAAUACGUAAGAGACUAGUGUUAUUCAUCUUAAUUAGGUUUAAAGGGUACCUAGACGGUCAAUAUAGCUUCUAGAAUGUUAGUACUUGACUAGAGUUUGAUGUAAGGGGGCAGUACUUGAGGAGGAGAGAUGAAAUUCUAUUAUACCAAAGGGACUCGGUAAAGGCGAAGGCAGCCCUUUAUGUAAAACUGACGUUGAAGGACGAAGGCACAGAGCACAAACAGGAUUAGAUACCCAAGUAGUCUUUGCAGUAAAUGAUGAAUGCCAUAGGUUAGAUUAA